CACGUAGGGUGCGAGCGUUGUCCGGAAUCAUUGGGCGUAAAGAGCUCGUAGGCGGUGUGUCGCGUCGGCCGUGAAAACCUGCAGCUUAACUGUGGGCUUGCGGUCGAUACGGGCAUCACUAGAGUUCGGCAGGGGAGACUGGAAUUCCUGGUGUAGCGGUGAAAUGCGCAGAUAUCAGGAGGAACACCGGUGGCGAAGGCGGGUCUCUGGGCCGAUACUGACGCUGAGGAGCGAAAGCGUGGGGAGCGAACAGG
rnacentral:rRNA from 1 species